rnacentral:rRNA from 1 species
UACGUAGGGCGCAAGCGUUGUCCGGAAUUAUUGGGCGUAAAGAGCUCGUAGGUGGCGUGUCGCGUCUGCCGUGAAAGCCCAUGGCUUAACUGUGGGUCUGCGGUGGAUACGGGCAGGCUGGAGGCUGGUAGGGGCAAGCGGAAUUCCUGGUGUAGCGGUGAAAUGCGCAGAUAUCAGGAGGAACACCGGUGGCGAAGGCGGCUUGCUGGGCCGGUACUGACGCUGAGGAGCGAAAGCGUGGGUAGCAAACAGG